rnacentral:rRNA from 1 species
GACAGAGGGUGCAAACGUUGUUCGGAAUUACUGGGCGUAAAGGGCUCGUAGGCGGCCAACUAAGUCAGACGUGAAAUCCCUCGGCUUAACCGGGGAACUGCGUCUGAUACUGGAUGGCUUGAGAUUGGGAGAGGGAUGCGGAAUUCCAGGUGUAGCGGUGAAAUGCGCAGAUAUCAGGAAGAACACCAAUGGCGAAGGCAGCUCUCUGGGACGGUACUGACACUGAGACGCGAAAGCGUGGGGAGCGAACAGG